rnacentral:rRNA from 1 species
GACGAACGCUGGCGGCGUGCUUAACACAUGCAAGUCGAACGGAAAGGCCCUGCUUUUGUGGGGUGCUCGAGUGGCGAACGGGUGAGUAACACGUGAGUAACCUGCCCUUGACUUUGGGAUAACUUCAGGAAACUGGGGCUAAUACCGGAUAGGAGCUCCUGCUGCAUGGUGGGGGUUGGAAAGUUUCGGCGGUUGGGGAUGGACUCGCGGCUUAUCAGCUUGUUGGUGGGGUAGUGGCUUACCAAGGCUUUGACGGGUAGCCGGCCGGAGAGGGUGACCGGCCACAUUGGGAAUGAGAUACGGGCCAGACUCCCACGGGAGGCAGCAGUGGGGAAUAUUGCACAAUGGGCGGAAGCCUAAUGCAGCAACGCCGCGUGCGGGAUGCCGGCCUUCUGGUUGUAAACCGCUUUCGCCUGUGACGAAGAGCGAGUGACGGUAAUGGGUAAAGAAGCACCGGCUAACUACGUG